UACGUAGGGCGCAAGCGUUGUCCGGAAUUAUUGGGCGUAAAGAGCUCGUAGGUGGCGUGUCGCGUCUGCCGUGAAAGCCCAUGGCUUAACUGUGGGUCUGCGGUGGAUACGGGCAGGCUAGAGGCUGGUAGGGGCAAGCGGAAUUCCUGGUGUAGCGGUGAAAUGCGCAGAUAUCAGGAGGAACACCGGUGGCGAAGGCGGGUCUCUGGGCCGACAUUGACGCUGAGGAGCGAAAGCGUGGGGAGCGAACAGG
rnacentral:rRNA from 1 species